CCUACGGGAGGCAGCAGCGAGGAAUAUUGGUCAAUGGGCGGAAGCCUGAACCAGCCAAGUAGCGUGCAGGAUGACGGCCCUACGGGUUGUAAACUGCUUUUAUAAAGGAAUAAAGUGAGGCACGUGUGCCUUUUUGUAUGUACUUUAUGAAUAAGGAUCGGCUAACUCCGUGCCAGCAGCCGCGGUAAUACGGAGGAUCCGAGCGUUAUCCGGAUUUAUUGGGUUUAAAGGGAGCGUAGAUGGGUUGUUAAGUCAGUUGUGAAAGUUUGCGGCUCAACCGUAAAAUUGCAAUUGAUACUGGCAGCCUUGAGUACAGUUGAGGUAGGCGGAAUUCGUGGUGUAGCGGUGAAAUGCUUAGAUAUCACGAAGAACUCCGAUUGCGAAGGCAGCUUACUAAACUGCCACUGACAUUGAUGCUCGAAAGUGUGGGUAUCAAACAGGAUUAGAUACCCGAGUAGUC
rnacentral:rRNA from 1 species